rnacentral:rRNA from 1 species
CCUAUCUGCCGUGGGCGCUGGAGAAUUGAGGGGGGCUGCUCCUAGUACGAGAGGACCGGAGUGGACGCAUCACUGGUGUUCGGGUUGUCAUGCCAAUGGCACUGCCCGGUAGCUAAAUGCGGAAGAGAUAAGUGCUGAAAGCAUCUAAGCACGAAACUUGCCCCGAGAUGAGUUCUCCCUGAGACUUUAAGUCUCCUGAAGGAACGUUGAAGACGACGACGUUGAUAGGCCGGGUGUGUAAGCGCAGCGAUGCGUUGAGCUAACCGGUACUAAUGAACCGUGAGGCUUAACCUUACAACGCCGAAG